GAUGAAGAACGCAGCGAAAUGCGAUACGUAAUGUGAAUUGCAGAAUUCAGUGAAUCAUCGAAUCUUUGAACGCACAUUGCACUCUCUGGUAUUCCGGAGAGUAUGCUUGUUUGAGUAUCAGUAAACACCUCAAAUCUCUUGUUUCUUGUGAAUAAGAGAAUUGGACUUGAGCAAUCCCAACUCUUGCAAAAGAGGCGGGUUGCUUGAAAUGCAGGUGCAGCUGGACAUUCUUCUGAGCUAAAAGCAUAUUUAUUUAGUCCCGUAAAACGGAUUAUUACUUUUGCUGCAGCUAACAUAAAGGUUGAAUGGCCAAUAUGGCUGACUGAUGCAGGAUUAACAGAGAAUUUAUUCUUUGUAAACUCGAUCUCAAAUCAAGUAAGACUACCCGCUGAACUUAAGCAUAUCAAUAAGAGGAGGA
rnacentral:misc_RNA from 1 species